rnacentral:rRNA from 1 species
UACGGGGGGGGUAAGCGUUGUUCGGAAUUACUGGGCGUAAAGGGCUCGUAGGUGGCCAACUAAGUCAGACGUGAAAUCCCUCGGCUUAACCGGGGAACUGCGUCUGAUACUGGAUGGCUUGAGUUUGGGAGAGGGAUGCGGAAUUCCAGGUGUAGCGGUGAAAUGCGUAGAUAUCUGGAGGAACACCGGUGGCGAAGGCGGCAUCCUGGACCAACACUGACACUGAGUGAGCGAAAGCCAGGGGAGCAAACGGG